UACGUAGGGUGCGAGCGUUAAUCGGAAUUACUGGGCGUAAAGCGUGCGCAGGCGGUCUGUUAAGACCGAUGUGAAAUCCCCGGGCCUAACCUGGGAACUGCAUUGGUGACUGGCAGGCUUUGAGUGUGGCAGAGGGAGGUAGAAUUCCACGUGUAGCAGUGAAAUGCGUAGAGAUGUGGAGGAAUACCGAUGGCGAAGGCAGCCUCCUGGGCCAACACUGACGCUCAUGCACGAAAGCGUGGGGAGCAAACAGG
rnacentral:rRNA from 1 species